rnacentral:rRNA from 2 species
ACAGGGAUUGCCCUAGUAACGGCGAGUGAAGCGGCAACAGCUCAAAUUUGAAAUCUGGCGUCUUUGGCGUCCGAGUUGUAAUUUGCAGAGGGCGCUUUGGCAUUGGCAGCGGUCCAAGUUCCUUGGAACAGGACGUCACAGAGGGUGAGAAUCCCGUACGUGGUCGCUAGCCUUUACCGUGUAAAGCCCCUUCGACGAGUCGAGUUGUUUGGGAAUGCAGCUCUAAAUGGGAGGUAAAUUUCUUCUAAAGCUAAAUACUGGCCAGAGACCGAUAGCGCACAAGUAGAGUGAUCGAAAGAUGAAAAGCACUUUGGAAAGAGAGUUAAAAAGCACGUGAAAUUGUUGAAAGGGAAGCGCUUGCAGCCAGACUUGCCUGUAGUUGCUCAUCCGGGUUUCUACCCGGUGCACUCUUCUAUAGGCAGGCCAGCAUCAGUUUGGGCGGUUGGAUAAAGGUCUCUGUCAUGUACCUCCUUUCGGGGAGAACUUAUAGGGGAGACGACAUGCAACCAGCCUGGACUGAGGUCCGCGCAUCUGCUAGGAUGCUGGCGUAAUGGCUGUAAGCGGCCCGUCUUGAAACACGGACCAAGGAGUCUAACAUCUAUGCGAGUGUUUGGGUGUCAAGCCCGAGCGCGUAAUGAAAGUGAACGGAGGUGGGAACCUUUCGGGGUGCACCAUCGACCGAUCCUGAUGUCUUCGGAUGGAUUUGAGUAAGAGCAUAGCUGUUGGGACCCGAAAGAUGGUGAACUAUGCUUGAAUAGGGUGAAGCCAGAGGAAACUCUGGUGGAGGCUCGCAGCGGUUCUGACGUGCAAAUCGAUCGUCAAAUUUGGGCAUAGGGGCGAAAGACUAAUCGAACUAUCUAGUAGCUGGUUCCUGCC